UUCUCACUUCAGUACCCUGGACCCCCAGGAGGAAAAAAAUGCAGGAAAUUGUGGCUACCCAGGCAACUGAUGAAUCUGAUCUGACCACAGGCAGCAGCAGACACCUGUGUCACGGAGGAAGUUUCAGAGCAUCUCGUCAGUUCUCAGAAGUCCAGUGACUCUUAAAAGAUAGUUGACUGGCUGUUGAGAUGGGGAGCUUGUUAUGUGACGACAAUUUACCUGUGGAGGAGGGACUGUGGGAGGAAGAGGAUGCUGAAAAAUUCUCAAACGUGAAAGUCUACAAAUUCAAUAAUGGUUUUGAUUGAGAGGAAGACGAAGAUUCAAAGUGGGAUGAGGAAGACUGCAACAUGAUGGAAGAGAGAAGAGAAGAAGAGCACUUUCAGCUGGAGCUUGGCAUGUGUUAGGCCACUCUCCCCAUCCCUGUGAAGUUCUGGAAACAGCUGUUGGAGAAGUCAGAGUUGAAUUCCAGCGGCUAUUGUAGAACAGGAAGGCGGAAUGCUCCACUGUUACCUCAGAAUAUCUGAUUGCUUACUAACGGGUUCUGUGCAGGCAGAGGAGUGCCACAGCUGCACCUGAGGCACAGAACCAUCAACAUAGUGAAGCCAGUUUCCACGAUGGCGAGAGGGGGCACCGGAGGUGACAGCGAGGACAAGGACCCAAGGACCAUCCUUCCGACAAGUUUUAGAACUGAGUAUCUUCGGGAGAUAUGGGCUCCAAAAGAAGUGGCAUCCUCCUCGAAUGGAAAGAUUCUCAGGCUGAUGGAGUGAGUGACAGAGUGGGUUGCCAACUCGAGUGACUCCACUCAGUGUACACAGUGGCUACGGGGGAUAGAUUCAGACAUGCCCAAAGAAGUCUGCCUAUGGGGAGACUCAUACCUUUGAGGUUUAAAUCAGAAACUACACGAUUCUUGUUGCUAUAUUUUGUUAAAAAGGAAAGAGAGGCUGUUUCUACAGGUGUUACAGAAAAAUCAAUACUGAGCCACGGAUUAUUGGAUCCCAUAGAACCAUGGAGACUUGGCAGUGAAAUUCUUCCAAAGGCAGACGGUGUUCCUAGGUUUGGAAGUAUAAAUCCCAGGGGAAGUGAGCUGAAGAACAUUUCAUGCAUCACUCAUCCUAUUAUGAGCCUUGUGCUGUUCCAUCUCUCUACAAGACUGGCAGAAACAACAACAAAAAUUGUUUAUAAUUUACAUUCUAACUUUGGAUCACCUAGCUCAUACCCUGACUCUGACUACCCAGAGAGACAAAGCUUUGAAGGAAGAAGUAGCUAUUGGAAGGCCGUUUCUGCUUUAUUAAUAAAAUCACAGGGAAAAUGCGACAUUCUGGAUGUCCCAUCUGAUGAGGAGUCAACAUCAAGAGGAAAGUAGUUGUACUUUUAUUGCACACCUACAUUUUAUUUGAAGACUAAGAAAUGUAAAUUCAGAGACAUAAGCAUGAGAAAACAAAUAUCUCAAGGAGUCAACAUAGAAAGGAAACGAGUUGUACUUUCAUUGCACACCUGCAUUUUACUUGAAGACUGAGAAAUGUAAAUGCAGAGAGAUAAGCAUGAAAGAGAGAAGAAAAAGAUACAACAGCGAUGAAAAACUCUACAUAAGUGGUAUAUUUUAUCUUCUUUGAAUUUCCUGGGAAAAAGUCUUUCAGUCAAAGAAUAAAAAGCUUUUGACUCAUUGGAACUUUCUGAGUUAGACUUGUUUUCACAGGAGCAAAUAGUGAACAACAUUGAAACAUUUAUUUUGGAAUCUUAAGAAAAAUUAUAUCUCGAACUCUUUGCAGCGGUUGACUGAUUGUACCCGCCAGCUGGCUAAUAUCAUAAUUAACAAAGUUGCUACUACAUCUGCAAAGUUUAAUCGAAAAAUUUGCCAGUGAUAUGAUGGCAUUGUCACAAAGAUCACAAGGGACACGGAGUUGACUUUUGCUCAAGGUGGAAUGGCAAAGCUGUAUAAGCAAGACAAGAAAUUGUGAACUUGUUCAGCCAAAGGUUAUGCUUCAUAUCACCCACCGGGGAGGAUCAUCUCUCAUGAAAACUUUCAAAUUUGAUUUUGAAAAUUAUUCAGAAAAAUUUAAGCCACACUGUCUCCCAAUAUAGGAAAGAAUAUACUCUGGAGGUUCCUGUAAUUCAAAGAAAAUGGACCAGGAUGACAUUUGGGUUCUCGUGCUACCAAAAUCCUCUUGAGAAGGAUAGCCAGUGUCGGAACAGAACUCGUCACCUUGGACGUCGGAGGGCCCCUUCGUUGUCUCUGUUUGUGGUUACAGCGUUUGCCUAUUCCUUGUGCUAUUUUUAUUUUUGUCAUUGGAGUCCAUGAAGACUUAAUCAUCGGCCCUCUCUAAUUUUCCGGAAAGAAAAAUAAAAAAGGAAAUAUGUUGAUUUAUUGAACUGGCUGCAGAAAGAGAAGAAGAGGAAGAAGAAGGAGAAGCAGAAGAAGAUCAAUCUGCCAUUGAGGCUAAUACCGGGCGGCCGGGAAGGAGGCCGCGCUCGAGGGUUAUCUCGCCGCCUCAGAUGCCGGGAAGCCCAAGGAGCCCAGGCGCUUCUGGACGACGUUCAGCAAGGCCGCGGGGAUUCCUGCGCGGAGAGGAGCCUGCCUGUUCUGUUCCAAGUUUUGAAUUGAGAAGAACAGCACUGAAUGGAGAUGGUGAAGCAGGAGAAGCUGAGGAUGAAUGUAUUGGUAUAUUCAAAUAUGUUCAAGGACAUGGAAGAGUAUAUUGAAUUGGGGAAGCCAAGGCUGAAUGAUCUGCCCACGGUCAUACCACAAUAGGAAUCCUACCCAUGUCUGUGGAUCUAGAAUGCAGCGACCAUCCAGUGGGCAACAGUGGCUUUACGGAAACCUUGAUGGUGGAGAGGAAAAGGUGGAGUCAACAGCCUUCAAGGAACUGACACCCCUCAGGUCAAAUUCCUGCAAGGAAAUGAAUCUGCUCACAACUACCUAACUGAAUUAAGUGGAUCCCUCACCAAGAGAAUUCUUAUUUUCCAAGCCUUGGAAUGACUGAAGCCCUAGUUGGCAUCCUGCCUGAAGCUUGUGAGGUGCCUUGCAGCAGAAGAUCCAGCUGAGCUGUGGCCACACUCCUGACCUACAGAAGCUAUGAGAAAAUAAAUACUGUUGAUUCAAGCCGCUAAAUGUUGGGGUCAUUUUUUAAUGCAGCGAUAAAUAACUAAUAGACUCUUUUGGAAGUGGAGGAUGUUGUGGAAGAAGAUGGCCCAUCAUGAUUCAGAUAGAAAACAAGAUUCAUGUGAACACAGCAGAAGGACCCAAAGAAUAGAGGGCAAGAAGUGAGCUGUCUUCAGAAGAUCUCAACUAUUUCCCCAUGAUCACUCUGCUCCAGUAGCUUUUCUCCAUCAGCAUGUCUGGAAUCAACCUUUAAUUGGAUAGUUUGCAAUACUUUUGCUUUGGACUAGUUGUAUUUCAAAGCACUUAAAUUGCUCAACCUGCUCCAAUACAUUUACUCCUACUGUUUUCAUCAUUAAUGAGGCAUUCAGCUUUUAUAAUCUGGGAGACGACUUAAAGAUUAGAGUUAAUUUAAUUUAAAAUCCAUAUACGAGAGAAAAAAGCCCCUGCCUGCGGUAUUGACGUCAAACUGUGGGCAUCUGUAAACUUGGGAGCAAAGACACACACGACAGCAUAUGCCAUGUUAUUAUUUCCAACAGGUGCCCAUAGUCACACAGUCACAAAGUUCUACCAAAGAUAUUCUGAAAAUUGGUCCCCAACUGAUUUAAUACUACUUAUCAGAGGCUUUUGUUUGAUCAAGUAAGUGGCAAACCACUUCUUGGAUUCAUUAUGAAGUCUUAAAAAUCCCACUGAGAAGCUAAGACCAAUAUCAAUGAAUCCUACAUCCCUGAUAUUUUGGAGAAAGUCAUUCAUGACUGAUAUAAUCAAAGAGCUUAGAUUUAUUAGUAGUGGUUCUUAUAAAGUAUGUGUUCUUAACUGAAUUUUAUUGGCAAAAUUAUUUACUUCAGUAUAAGAAUAAGGCUGUGGCAAGCAAUCCCUGGAGGCAUCUAUUUCACAUGUAAUUUUUUUUUUAUCUUCAAAGUCUGUUUUCUGAUUUGUCCACGUCUACAGUGAGUUAGUUUCAGGUAAUUGUUUUCUAUUCAUUCACUCAUUCAUUUGUUCAUUUGGCAGACACUUACUGUGUAUAUCUUCUGUGCCAAGCAUGAUGCGUGAUCUUGGAGAUUAUAAAAAUAAUAAUAGUAGUCUUUCCGUCAAAACGGGUAAGUUAUGCUAUUGUAACAAGUUUAAAAUAAUCUCAAUAGUCUAUCCCAAUAAGUCUAUUUCUUGUUCACAACCCGUCUAUGAGGUCCAUGUGAAAACCUCAUGGCAUCUUGGGCUACAUUUGCUGAGACAAGGGAAGAUGAGACUAGGAAGUCCAGUAGUAAUAACUAAAUCCUUCUAAUUUGUUCCAAACAAGCUAUUCUGCUUGCAUGACCAUGUCUGCCUGCAAGUAGGAGUGCAAUCCCCAAGAGUUUCAUUAGGAGAAACAGAAAUAAAGCAUAUCAUGGUCUGCCAUAUGCAGACUUUACCUCUGACAACCCAGGCCCAAUCUGGUUUUGUUAGCAUGUGCAAGCUUGUCAUAGGCAUUUGUAGAACUUUCAUCAAGCCUUUAAAAUACUAAACACAUCAUGGUAAUCUCCCAUUACUAUUCUCAUGGACAGCUAAAGGAACAGGUGCUCUGUAUUUACGGUGACCCAUCUCUGUUUCUCUGAUAUUACAGACUUUAUUUCCCUCCCUUCCUCUCUGGUCCAGGUAGGAGGACCUGGUCACUCCUUGAGAGUGAUGAACAAAGGAUGACAUGGCGAGAAUCAAGUUAGACUUGCAAAGUUACCAUUAAAUUCCCAUUUAUGUAUGUACGUAUGUAUGUAUGUAACCAGUGGAGCAUUUGACAACUAUAUAUUAAGCAUCUCUACUCAGGCUGUGUGUUAGGAAUGAAAUGUUGAUCAAACUAGACAUGGUUCAAGCAAUAUAAUGAGGAGAUUGACAAACAAAUGGGCAAUCACAAUGCAGGGCAGUAAGUUAUGUUAAAGAAGUGCAGAGUGCUCUGGGAGCAUGCUACUGCGGUGAUCCAGGGGGUGAGAGAAGACCCCUGGAGGUAAUAAUGACUGAGCAGAUGUCUAAUGUAAGCUUGGUGAAAUAGCUGGGGGCAGAGUGAUUAUUCUAAAAGAAGAAUAAAGACCCAGAGGAGAGAGGGAGACAAUGACAAGAAAAGAGCAGAGGAAACUUUUGACAGGAUCAAGGAAUUGCAAGAAGACAGAGUGUAGAAUCAAGGUGUGGGCAUUUGGGGAAGUGAGAUGAGAAACAUAAAGAGGAGCCAGAUUUCCAAGGACCUUGUGAGCCAUGAAAAAGAAUUUGGACUUUGUCCUAAGAGCAGUGGGAAGCCACUGAAAGGUUUCAAACAGAAGAGAGUGAUAUGAUAGGUCCUUCAGAUUUGAAGUAACAGUGGCCCCUUUACAAAAGCCUAGCAGUUAUUGUGUUGCCAAAGGACCCAGCCCAACACUUGUUCACAGCGGUCCUGGUCUUUGGCUGGUUUCCUUAAAAGGGCAAUCUAUGAGGGAGCGGACUGGGGAUUUGUGCAUUUGGUAUGAUCAGGAGCCUUCGGAGAGCCCUUGUGACAAAAUGGUUCUUUUCUCCUUCUGCCAUCAAUACUAAAAUCCCACUCUGGGCAGCCCUGGUGGCACAGUGGUUUAGCACCGCCUGCAGCCCGGGGUGUGAUCCUGGAGACCUGGGAUUGAGUCCCACAUCGGGUUCCCUGCAUGGGGCCUGCUUCUCUCUCUGCCUCUCUCUCUAUGUCUCUAUGAAUAAAUAAAUAAAAUCUUUAAAAAAAUACUAAAAUCCCACUCUUAGUUCCAUCCUCUUUCCAUGUAUCUGUUCAUCAAAUAUGCACCAAGCACCCACUUUAUAAAUGGAAUGGAACUUAUGCCAUAAAAAAAGAUAAGGAUGAGGAUCUUGCUUUCAGAAGGCUAAAGUUCCGGGGGAGGGGGGGGGCGGGAGGCAAAACGAGUUUAAUAGCAUCAUGUAUGGGAGGAGAAUAGAGCUGUAGGAACCCAGAGAAGAAACCAGUCUUUCAGACUGAGGACCCCAGGGAAGACUUUGUGGAGAAAACACUACCAUGGCUGGACCUCGGAAGUUGGAUACGAUGAUCUCAGUGCUGAGCAGUGUUUUCAUCAGAGGCAUUUCAGCUAUCCAUGACAGAAACUUAACUCCAAUGAGUUUAAACAAAGAGAGAGCAUUUAUUUAUUGGCUCACACACUGGGAAGUCCAGAGGUGCCCCUGACUCCAUACCUAGCUGGAACGAGGGACCCAAUAUUAUUAUCAAAGCUCAUUCUCCCUCCCUCCAUUCUUAGGGAAGAUUCUCUCUGGCGCUUAAGAUGGCUCUCAGUGAACUCAGUAUAUUAGUUCCAUUGGGCUGCCUUACCAAAUCACUACGAAGACUGAAUAACUUAAAAUAAUAGAAAUUUGUUCUCUUGAGGUUCAGGUGGGCCAGAGUCCAAAAUUGAGGUGUCAGCAGAGUUGAUUCCUUCUGGAGGCUCUGAGGAAAAAUCUAUUCUAUGGCUCCCUCCUAGCUUCUGGUGUUUGCUGGAAAUCCUUGGGAUUCCUUUGACUUCAGAGGCAUCCCACCAAUCUCUGCCUCCACCUUCACAUUGCCUUCUCUGCAUUUCUCCUGUGUCUCCUUACCUAAAAUCUUCCUCUCUUUUCUAUUGUAAGGACACCAGGCACUGAAUUUAGGAGCCACACUCAAUAUAGACUGAUCUUUCUUGAGAUCCUUAAUUACAUCUACAAAGAAUUUGUUCCAAACAAGAUCCUACUUCAAAGUUCCAGGUAGACAAGAAAUUUAAGAGGACGCUAUUCAACUUGCUAUAACCAGCAAAACCAUCUUUCCCACUACAGCACAAAGAUCCCCCUCCAGCUGGCCCAGCUUGGGUCAUGUACCAGAUCUGGGAUGGAUGGGGGUGGGCUAUGGAGUUCAGCCCCACCAGAACCACAUGAGUUGACUUCCCAAGGGGGAAAAACAUUCGGGUAUUAGAAUAACAGGAGAAGAUGUGCUAGAGAAAUAUCACUGAUAGGAUCCUGGAACAAGCAGGAAAGAGCUUUCUGGGGGGAUGAUAAUGGAAAGGUCUUUGGAAUUAGAACUGAAUAGAUUCUAAAGGCUAGUCUAUUGGCUGCAUUCUCUUCUAUAGAUGAGGAAUAAAAAGCAUAGGGAGGGACUUUCUGAAGGUUCCUAUCCCUAACAGUCAGUGAAGGGUGUUCUGUUGGAGGGCAGAGGCCACCUGACCUGAAUAUGGGGGGAAGGGAGGUACCAAGAGAGCAGGAUAAGCCAGACAGGGAGGCCAGCACUAGGAGACAUGGAUGGAUCUUUAAAACACAUUUCAUGAUAAUUCCCACAUCUAUCUCUGCCUUCGUUUACUUAAGCAUUUUAGCCAUACAGCUACAAGUUAGACUAUUGGUUUUCAGAGGCUACUCUGAAGACCAAUGUUGAGGUAAUGUUUGCAUCCAUCUUCUGUGAUAUUAGAAAAGUAAGAAUAACAUGGAACUUUUUUUAAAGCUGCAUUUCCAUUUAAAGGUCUGUGUUUUCUUUCUGAAAUUGUAUCCUCUUUACCUUUUUUGAUAUUUGUUUGCUAUUUUUUAUUUUAUUAACCCAUGAUCACAGUGGAAAGUAAUUAUUAGUUUAUGUCAUUUAAUUUAUGGCCUAUAUUUGGCAAAUAAAAAUGUUGGAAACCCUA